rnacentral:rRNA from 1 species
UACGUAGGGUGCAAGCGUUGUCCGGAAUUAUUGGGCGUAAAGAGCUCGUAGGCGGUCUGUCGCGUCGGCUGUGAAAACCCGGGGCUCAACCCCGGGCCUGCAGUCGAUACGGGCAGACUGGAGGUAUGCAGGGGAGAACGGAAUUCCUGGUGUAGCGGUGAAAUGCGCAGAUAUCAGGAGGAACACCGGUGGCGAAGGCGGUUCUCUGGGCAUGUCCUGACGCUGAGGAGCGAAAGUGUGGGGAGCGAACAGG